AUGGUUAAGCUACUAAGAGCGCACGGAGGAUGCCUAGGCGCUAGGAGCCGAUGAAGGACGUGGCGAACGACGAAAUGCCUCGGGGAGCCGUAAGCAGGCUUUGAUCCGGGGAUGUCCGAAUGGGGAAACCCGGCUGGAGUAAUAUCCAGUCACUAUGCAAUGAAUACAUAGUUGCAUAAGAGGCAUACCAGGGGAACUGAAACAUCUAAGUACCCUGAGGAAGAGAAAACAAUAGUGAUUCCGUCAGUAGCGGCGAGCGAAAGCGGAUUAGCCCAAACCAGGGAGCUUGCUCCCUGGGGUUGUAGGACGUCUCACAUGGAGUUACAAAGGUGUUGGCUAGGCGAAGAGGUCUGGAAAGGCCCGCUAUAAGAGGUAAAAGCCCUGUAGCCAAAAGUCAGCACUCUCCGAGACGGAUCCUGAGUACCGCGAGACACGUGAAACCUCGUGGGAAUCCGG
rnacentral:rRNA from 1 species